rnacentral:misc_RNA from 1 species
GCAAGUAAUUCCCUUCCAUGAUUGUCCACAAGGAUCAUCGCCAUUUGCGUUCCACUGGGUUAACUGAGAGGGCGAGUUUAAACUGGUGUACAAAACCCUUAAAGCAGAGGCAUCUGUUGGAUCUGUGGUUCCUUGAAUGCAGCUAGGCUUCCACCCUAGAAUGCAGAGAAUGAUGAGAGAUAUCAGCUCCCUCCACCUCCAAUCCAUCCUCUUCCCAGCCCGGAACAGGAAUGAGAGCCUCAAAUCAACCACCCUCUUUUCCU